GACGAACGCUGGCGGCGUGCCUAAUACAUGCAAGUUGAGCGCUGAAGGUUGGUACUUGUACCAACUGGAUGAGCAGCGAACGGGUGAGUAACACGUGGGGAAUCUGCCUUUGAGCGGGGGACAACAUUUGGAAACGAAUGCUAAUACCGCAUAAAAACUUUAAACACAAGUUUUAAGUUUGAAAGAUGCAAUUGCAUCACUCAAAGAUGAUCCCGCGUUGUAUUAGCUAGUUGGUGAGGUAAAGGCUCACCAAGGCGAUGAUACAUAGCCGACCUGAGAGGGUGAUCGGCCACAUUGGGACUGAGACACGGCCCAAACUCCUACGGGAGGCAGCAGUAGGGAAUCUUCGGCAAUGGACGAAAGUCUGACCGAGCAACGCCGCGUGAGUGAAGAAGGGUUUCGGAUCGUAAAACUCGGUUGGUAGAGAAGAACGUUGGUGAGAGUGGAAAGCUCAUCAAGUGACGGUAACUACACAGAAAGGGACGGCUAACUACGUG
rnacentral:rRNA from 1 species